GCCGAAGGUGGGGCUGAUGGCUGGGGUGAAGUCGUAACAAGGUAGCCGUACCGGAAGGUGCGGCUGGAUCACCUCCUAA
rnacentral:rRNA from 1 species